UUAAUCAGAUAUCAAAUAGAAUUCUUAAUUUUUUAAUUUCCAAUCAAUCGUUUAUCAAAAACGUGAUCGCGAUUACAUUUCGCAAGUAUAACGGAUAUAUAUAGGCAGUGGUAGUUUAACAUACUACAUUCUCAUUUUUAACAACUGAAAACACGUUGGUAGUUAGGACAAAUUCCUGACGAUGGCGCGCUAAGAUUAUUCGAUCGCGGGAUAUCUUUACGACAGUAUAUAAAUCUUUUGCUCCUGUUGAAUCACUGCGUCAUAGUCGCGAUUAAUUUCGAAUCAGUGAGGACGUUGCAAAUCGUUUAAAUCUUCAUAAAACACGCUUUUUGAAUUUAUACGAGGCAAUGAAUCAUUCGUUGACAGAGCAAAACCGCGAUGAUGACUCGUUGAAAACCAUUCAGAAUUCAAGGUAGACAUUUUGGAAGGAAAGAAGCAUGCCUGGCGAAAAUGACGUUUCCAACAAUCUGCUAUAUUUUUCAUAUCAGAGCGUCGUGCCUGUAAAAAAAAAAUUUAAGAAACACGAAAUGUAACGAAACGAAAGAAUGAAUUCCUGCUGCGUUUCCUCCUAGCAAGAGAAGAACAGUAACAGACGCACAGUCUAUUACCUGAACCACCAAGCCAUAGAAUAAGUAAAGGGGAAAAAGUUGGCAUGAAAAAAAAUUCUUCCGCAUCGAGCGGCUGUUGGCCGGGUUGGCGUCCUUCCUGGAGAACGAGCAAAAAAAAAAAUUGGCCAGCCCUUUUUUUUAUACCUCCACUAUUGGCCAUUUGACCGGCAAGGAUACCGUUGCUUCGCUCCAAAGAUACCGCUAGAUUGCUUUCCUGUUAGAAAACGAGAUCAUGGCCAUCUUUCACGAUACAAGGCGUUGCAACCAUCGAUGGAAGGCUUCCUCGUUUUCCUCUCCAUGCAAAAAAAAAAAGAACUCGCAGAAAGGGUAGUAAAAGGUUUGGAAAAAAAUUGUCUUUUUUCACGAUAUAGCAUACACUUACUUUGGAUGAACUAUUUCCAGGUGUGUUAAUAUUGGAUGGAGUUUGGAAAAGAGAUGUGAAAGGAUUGAUGGAAUAUUUAUGUUGUAUCUGAUGAUUGAAGAGAUAUGAAGCUAUAGAAUAAUGUAUUGAUUGAGAGGUAGAAUGAAUCUUCUGCUGGAUAUGAAAAUUAGAAUAAUAAAUGGAACUAUAGAAUAAUGUAUUGAUUGAGAGGUAGAAUGAAUCUUCUGCUGGAUAUGAAAAUUAAAAUAAUAAAUGAAACUAUAGAAUAAUGUAUUGAUAGAGAAUGAAUCUUCUGGUGGAUAUGAAAAUUAGGAUCAAGGAUAGAUAUAUGUGGAUUAGGCGAAGAAGGAGAAUAUGAAAAAGGAGAUUAUUGAGAUAUUUCUUGUUAAUAUGGAAAUUUUAUUAUUGAUAGUGAAAAUAUCAUUGAAAUAGGCAAUGUUUUUGCGCGUAAAAGAGAGAUAUAGGUGGCAUAAUCAGAUACAAAUUUAGAUAAUAUGUGUAGGUAUACAGGAAAUUUCAAAUAAAAUGAUAUUGGCUUUCGUUAUGGCGUAUCUUGCGUUGUACAUAAGGAUAUGAGCGUUGUAAUUAAAGAAUACGUUUAUGAAAUUAUUUGCAAAUACAGCCAGUAGGCAUAAUCAAGUCUAUGUUUGUUAUUACUCGCUGUACAUUCUUGUUCAAAAGUCGCUUAAAGUAAUAUUUUGUGCGUUUGUCUCAAAAUUGUAAGAAAUUAAAAUAUACAAAAGGACGUUUAAUCUUUCCAAUAUGAUUCUGAAAUUGAUUGAUACAAAAUUGAAUGUAUCAAAAUAUGAAAAAUUUGUUGAAUGAAAUUGUGUCUUUCAAAUACAUGCAUUUUUAAGAGACUUUUGACCAAUAAUGUAUUACAAAAAAAAAUUGCAUGUGCGCGCAAAUACAUAUAUUAUAAUAUAUAUUUUUUGCUGUUGUAAAUUAUUCUUCCGCUUUGUGCAUGUGUAUGAAUAAUCAUUACAGAUAAUUAUCUUCACCUGCAGACAUAACCGUCCAACCGUUCUCAAGUGUAAUUAUUAGACUGAUAGGAUAUCUAGAAUCGAAAUUUCAA
rnacentral:lncRNA from 1 species